UACGUAGGGUCCGAGCGUUGUCCGGAAUUACUGGGCGUAAAGAGCUCGUAGGUGGUUUGUCGCGUUGUUCGUGAAAACUCACAGCUUAACUGUGGGCGUGCGGGCGAUACGGGCAGACUUGAGUACUGCAGGGGAGACUGGAAUUCCUGGUGUAGCGGUGGAAUGCGCAGAUAUCAGGAGGAACACCGGUGGCGAAGGCGGGUCUCUGGGGCAGU
rnacentral:rRNA from 1 species